GGAUUGCAGCGGAUUUGUGGGGAGAGCAAUCCCAGGGGGUCUGGCUUUCUUGGGACGGAGGUGAGAAAUGCACAGUUCUCCUUUGGGAAUUCGGCGCCCGGCUGGCCGUUCCCCCAGCAGGGGAGAGAGCAGAGGCAGCAGUCCUGUAUUCUGGUACCCGAGAGGAAACCCCAGUCAGCCCCGGAUCCACAAAAUACGUGUUUGUUCCGCACAAAGGUGCCUAGCAGUGUGCGAAAUCAAUGUUAGAGAAAAAAGUAAAUGCACUUUAUAUUUCACUGAUUUCACCCUAGCAACGCUAUGUAUGAUUAAAAUGUUUUAAUGUUUAAUGACCCAAUACAAUGUAUUUAGGGUCAAGUUUUGUGCCCCUGACGUCAGGACACAUAGGAACAAGAUCUGAUCCACUGUAUUUUCCUCAUAGUUUAAGUUAAAAAAAUCUAGGACUAAGUGUUCAGCAUCAGUAAUCUGGCCUUCCUCUUCUGAUUCCUCUGGAUGUGCUAUGUGCUAAUUUACCUGAGCUGAUCAACCAGUUCUAAGUUUUAAACACAGAAGGCAAUGCUCUAAUUUUUUCCUAGUAUGGAUGGCAGGAGCUGUUCAAAGUGAAAAAUAAACAUCACUAAAUAAUCACCAAUGCUUAAAUAGCAUUCUUAAGAGUAAACAGGAAAUAUUUCUAGUCUUAUAAGGACCAAAUUCUCACUGCUUCCUUUAAUUUUUCACUUCUCUGUGAAAUGCUGAUAUUCUUGUUAUUCAGAAGGUUUCAUUUAUUUUGCCUUUUACAAAACAUGCUAACAUUGUACCUUUCCCAACGACCUAAAUGACCUAAAGCAGAUGACCUAAAUUUAGAAAAAAAAAUUGAAGGUUAAAAAACAAGUUGUUGUUUUUUUCCUGGAAAAUCCUUCAGAGAGCAGUGAUUGGCCACGCACCUGCUGCAGCAGAGAGUUGCUACAUGCAGGCAGGUUUAGUUUCAACCAGAGUCAAAGGUGGUUUGUAACUGAAGCAGGAGCAAGCAGCUUCCACUGCUCGUGUCACGACUGAACUCACGUCAAUGUCACACAGGAACAGCUGCUAAUCAAAACGACAUCACUGACACUGACAUAGUCAUUGUCAGUAAAAUGUGGAACUGAGCUCCCAGGAAAAAUCCUAGCACUGUGUAAGUCAAUCAGAAAGUUCAGUAGGAAUCUGUGGCUCCAGUUUGCUUUGCGAAGAAACAGUCCUGCCAUUAUUCUGCUGUUUGAUAAGCCUAUUGAGCCAAGAUAGGCUUACUCUAGUGAUGAAUUACCUAUGUUAACAUUAAUGUGGUUUAGAAACUACUUUUUGUAAAUAACAAGCUUCUCCAUCCUGUAUCUUACAGAGCAAAUUUAUCCCAGGAAACUGUAGAAGGAGACCUCAGGGGUGUGUGAGGAUACACGGUGUUACAAAUGAGAUCUGUGGGAUUUGGGUUCUUUCAGAGUCUGUGGGCACACCUGGGGUUCCUACAAUCAAGUAUCUAAAUCUUCCCCUCCUGUUUCCCGGAGGAACCCAAGGAAUGCAAGGCCCUAAGUAGAACUGUGUGUAACACUGUUGGCACAUACAGAGCUACAAACUGGCUACGGUAACUUCCAGCUCUGUUUCACCUCCCCACAAGCAAUAACAUAACUUGUGCUCCUCUUCCAUUCCCGCUUUUUCUAUUUUUUACUGCUCACAGCUAGAAUUAAUUCCCUCAAAGCAGCUGGUCUGUGUUUUCUCUAAAUCACUAAAGGAAAAUAUCCACAAAUAAUACACAUGAAUAAAACCGCUUCCCUUCAGUUUUAUUCCUGGAUUUUCUUUUUCAUUACAUAUUUUUCUGUUUCUCUAUGCUAGAAUCCGAAUUUCCUUUCCUGCAGCUUCUCUGUCCAAGUUUGUUCUUCAUUCUCUCCUUCUACUGACCAGACUUCUGCAGUUGGAAAUAUACUGUCCAGCUGUUUAUUCCAAAAGUGCUUAAUCCCUGCUGCACCUGCUACAGCUUUUAGCAUUAAAAUUAAUUUCUUAACAAGAGAGGAACAUGCCAGAGGAGAGUGGAACCCUUCAAACCACAGAGUACAUUCAUACUUGAUCCCGUUACAGCAAUAGAAAUGCAAUGGUUGUUGGAAACUGCCUGACUGAAAACAUGCUGAAAUAGCAUCACAUGGUAUUUGAGGUAGGAAUUAAAUAUUUAACAUAUAUCUUUACUGCAAAAGAAACAUGAAAGAAAACUGAACUGUGCUCUGAUAUUAUAAACAGAAAAUGACAGGGAAACAAUUCAAAUCUAAACCCAUCACCUCCCUAGUAAUGAAAACCUAACCAAAUUAUAAAGUAGCUCUCCCAAGCUCAUUGCCACAGUUGUUGCUCAAUUAGAAGGUAUGUGUACUAGAAUAGGAAACCUUCAGACACAGUUUUAGAUUAGGUAACUCUGUUUUUCCUGAUGGAUUAUAAAAAAAAUUAUAAAUAUUUCCACUUUCCAUCACUUGAAAUUAAAGAGAAUAAGAAAUUUCCAUUAACUUUCAACUAGCUCAACUACUAAAGCCAUUUUCUCUCUGGACUCUCUUUUCCUUCUUAAACAUUCUCUGAUGCUGGACUGAUUUUCACAAAUUGUUUUGUUCUGUUGUCAUCCUAAGCACUCACCUUUUUGCCAGUAACUUGGAGAAUAAAGCUGUGCCUCCUAGUGCUACUGAAAUGAACACUAAAGUAACUGGUUUUCCUUAACCACCAGAACUUUUAGACAAAUCCUUGCCCUCUGGUGGUGGGAAUGCUUCUCCUGGUUAACCCUGCUCUAACAUGACUAAUUCUGUGACACUUCCUUAGUUUCAACAGUAUUUUCUUAAUUUUGCAGAACUGCCUCUGUGGAGGAAAUACUCCACAAGAACAGGUUUCAGAAUGCUAUCUUUGAACUCCAAUUACUCUGAAUUUUCUCUCAUAGGUUUAGGUCUAGUGUAGGCAGUGGAGCUCCACCUGUGUGUUUCCUGCAGCCACACUGAUUUUUCAUUCCAUUUGGCUUCAUUGUUUGACCUGGCAACAUCCCCUGCAGUACCUCAGAGAUUUUCAUCCCAAAUCUGGAUACAUCCCCCAAAUCUGCUGUCUCAGCAUGGCAGUGGGUCUCUCCUCACUACCUGCUGUGUGGCACCAUUCUCUAGAAAUGGUCAAAUAAGUGAGAGCAGAACAUUUGAAAACUUCCAAACUUUGUGACUUCAGAAACUGAUAUCCUGCACCAGUCACGAGUAUUUCAUUUCUCCCUUCUCUAAGGUUGAAAAAUUGCCAGGGGCACUUUUCCUCCCCACCCAAGUACAGCCUACAAAAAGCCAAACACACACACUGGCAUUGACAAACUGAAGAUUUGAUUCAAUGCUUGGCUAAAUAUGUGGGAAUUAUAAAACUACAGAACCUGUUGUCAGGAGCAAAGGAUUACAGCUCAUUGUCUACUGAAACAACUUGCAUUAAACAGUGUUAAGUUUCUUUGAAGGCAGAUAUCAAAACAUUGUUUCAGAACUUUUUUUUUUUGCAAGUUGCAUAUUUUUAGUAUUCAGAAAUGCUACAUAAAUAUUGGCCAGGUAAUUUAAAUUACUACUAUAAAAAACAUUUUUAUUAGAAAUACUUACUUACUGAUACAAUUUACUUUGGUUUCCUAGAUAAAGUAACAAAAUCAGGUGCUUUAAACCAAAAUGGUGCCUUCAGGAAAAAGAGUACUAAACUAAAAAAGUCAGGUAACAACUUACCUAAAAAUGUUACUCAAUUUAGAAAUACAAAUGUUGCUCUGAUUUAUAUAAGCAUCCCCGACUGAGGGAAAACACAGGACUGCAGAACUAUUGAGAUGCCCCUUAAAGGGGAGCCCUGAAGCAUGUUCAAAACUCAAUGAAAUUCUGAUCUCAUUGCAAUUAAAUGUAAAAUUCCUCCAACAUCAAUAAAAUCAAGAUUUCUUCUGAUAAAGAACAUUGGUAUAAGAACAAGUGAGCACAACUGGCAAUUAACAGUUCCAGAGGUAAAAAAUAAAUUUUAAUUUCCAUAUCAGAAAAGUGAGGUUCUGUAAGUGUUCCCAGCUGGAGCAACAGGAGCAACAGAUUCAAUGUGUCCAAAAUUAACAUGUUUGAUUAUAAACCUGUAAGUUCAAGAGCACAGUCCCCAGCACAGCUGCCACAGACUGGCAGAACCAUUACACUUAUUACACAGAAAUAGCCAGGGAUGGUGGUGUUUACCUUCUCCCUAAGGGUACCCUUUUCCCAAGGAACAGCAGCCCAGUCUUUAUGUGCACCACGAAGAGCUGCAUUGCAGGGUGCCUGUGAUUCAGGAAUCACCAAGUGCCUUCAAUAACGCUCUGAUUCUGUCACACAGAGCAGCUGUUCCCACUCUGCAGCCUCAAACUACAGCAGGGGCUAUUUACUGACCAACUGGUGAGCCCUGGAUCUUUAGUUUCUGAGGCAAGCUGAAAAGGGAAAAAUGCAAAACUAGUGCAAUUACAUCUGGGGAAUUGAUUUAGAAAGAAAAAACCCGUGUGUCCUUGUUGAGAAGUGUUUGCUUCUCAACACUACAUGCAUCUCUCAAUAUUAAACUUCAAAGCUCUGAUGUAACAGAACCCAAAUAGUUCAGAGCCUCUUUAAAGUUACCACAGCACUCAGUAAAGUUAAGGACAAGGAAAAGUAGGGCUCUUCUUAUGUUUGUGUACUGCAUCAUCCCCUCCCUCUGCCCUGCAAAACACAAUGACAACACAUCUUUUGAUGUUUUGAAUUCUUCAUGGCUUUGUAUAGCAGCAUAACACCAGAGCACCUCAUUUAAAUUUUUGAUUUAUCAUAUAACCCAAGAGAUUGUUAUAAGAAGUAAAAAAAUAAUUGUCAUAAACCAGUAAAAGUUUUAACUUUUCACCAGCAACUUCAAACUUCAAAGUAUAUAAAUCAUCCCACUGGCACAGCUGUAGAUCCUGAAAUACAUGUUGAGUGUCAGAAAUUAAGGCACAGAUAUCACAUAAAAUGCUUUUUUGACCUUUAGAAAUGUGAAAAUUGGACAUUUUCUUACAAAAACUCCUGUUUCAGUCAACACCUCUAUAAGAACCCAGUCCUUUCUUUCCAUGUCCCCAAAUUGUCUUUUCAUUUGGUCUUAAUACAUUCCAUUUGUGUGCCACACAGUAAACUGAUUUAUCUUGCAUCACUCAUCUUUUACCAGCACAGUAUUCCACUUCUCCUAGGACUUAUGCCAGCAUUCCAAACUAUAAAGCCACAGGAAGGAGAUCUUAAUUGUUUUUAAAGGUAAACUGACUGAAAUUUUCUUCUCCAUUUCAACAUACCUAAAUACGUAUAUAAAAGCAGUAGGUAACUUGGGCUGUAAAAAAUCCUCCUUCACUAUUGUCCUUUUAAAAUAGGUAAAGAGCAAUAACCUCAUCUGGAAACUAAAAAUAGCAUGAGUAAUUUUACAAUCUUUUCACAUUUUGCUCUUAUUCCCCUGGAAUAUAGUGACCUUAUUGGCUUGGCUUAUGUAAGUGGUAAUAGAUUGCCGAGCUGGAAUUUUUCACUUAACACCAGCAAUUCUGUGCAUAUUUUCUGCUGGGCUGAUCUUUCUGCCCUCCUUUUUGCACUCCAGCCCUCCCUGGUGUGCCCCCUGAGCCAGGGGCAGCAGGAGCUCCCACUGCUCUGCAGCCACAGUUCCACACUGGGCAGAUGCAGGGCACUGAGUGCUGGAGACACCCAGGGUCACACAGACUUCUCCUGCUCACACCACCUAUAAAUCUCUUUCCACUGGGUUGCUACAGCCAGCACUCACUGUCACAGCACAGGACCUUUGGCUGCCAAGUGUCCUUCCCUAAAUCCAUCCUGUGGGCCAAAGGCAAAGGAAGUGUUGUGAGGACAGCACUAUCAAACAUGGAUCAGUGGCCAUCAGCCUGAUUCUCCCCCUCCUCUUAGUGAAGGCACUUUCAUUUACCCGCUGUCUUCCUGUACAACCAGGGCUCACAAUGGGACAAAGCAGGAAACACUUCUGAACAUCCAGCUUCUUGGUCCUACAUCCAGCUUCUUCCUUGCAGGCUCAGACAAGUCUGGAAUAGAUGCUCACUCCCUUUUUAAGAAAAUGAUUCCAAAAUAGCUGCAGUUCUCACACAUCUGUUGCCCUCUGGCAGACACGCUGAGUUUCUAUGACAUUUAACAGAAAUAUCAUGCAGGUACCUAAAUUAUUCCUAAGUGUCCUUCCAUGCAUUUGGAGUUACACUAAAACAGCUACAGAUGUUGCAAACAAGACAAACACUGAUUUCACUGAAUCCAAUACUUCUGUCAUGGGACUGUUUAAAUGAAAGAACAUGGACUAAACAGAAAAAGUACCAAAAAAAAAGGGAAAAAAAGAAAAAGCUUAUCUCAUAGCCUAUCAUGAAAUCAUGUUCUCCAAUUUCUUUAGGUUCAGGCCUUCAUGAUUCUAAUUUCCACCUAUUUCUCAUUUUGCAGCAGAGGCAUUUUUACAAGUUUUAAAAUCUUUCAGAGUGUGGUCCAACAAUAAAAACCAAUGUGCACGGCAAAUAAAAUUUGGAUGAAAACAGUGAGACCUCAGAGUCUGAAUCCCCAACAGUGUCAGGAUCAUCAUCACACCUGAUGUGUUCACAAGGUGAAGGACACAUCGAUCCAGAUGCAACCCAAAGGCUGAUGUAACAUAUGUUAAUUCAACUCAGCUUAUUACCAAUCUUCUCCAAACAAUCUCUGAGGAAGCACUCAUGAAAGCUGAUUCUGUACAGUCAGACUUUGUCACACAUUAUUAAACAUCACUAGAGAUGGUAUCCUGUGAUGCACAGCAAAACUUCUGAGCCAAAAGGCAAAAAUUCAGAUUAAGGACACUUCUUUUACAUCCAGGAAAAUGAGCAAACAUUAAACAUUGUGCAAAAGAAAAAGACUUUAUUUAAUACCAUAUAUGACUCGGAAGUUUCACGCACUGAAGACCAGAAAAACAAACUGUAUUUUGCCUUUCCAAAUACACCUAUAUUCAACAUGGAACUCAUUGAUUUUUAAGAUA